GCCAGUGUGGUGGUGUGGUUGGAACACUGGACUAGGAACCUAGAGACCAGGGUUCAAAUCCAUGCUUUGGCA